AUGUGUUUCGGAUCAUUGUCCCGCUGCAGAACCCAAGGGCGCUUCAGCUUGAGGUCACCAACUUAUUACCGGACAUUAACCUUCAGGAUUUUUUAGUAGAAAAGCAGAAUUCUUAGUUCCAUCAAUCGCAACAAGUCAUCCAGAUCGUGAAAGAGCAAAGCAGCCCCAGAGCAUCACACAACACCCCCAUAUAUGACUGAUGAUCUACAUACAGGAGAACAACAGGACGGAGGUCACAGAGUUCCUUCUCUUAGGAUUUCAGACUUGAGGAAUAACCUUAUCAGUGAGGAGCAGAAGCCAAUAAGCCCUAUGUUCAUAGCAGAGCUGAUCCUGUAUGAGUGCACUUAAAUGAAGUAAGAAUCCACAUGUCUGACGUACUAUGUCCACCAUCUUCUAAUAUCAUGAAGCCCUGCUCACACAUUUGGAUUAUACCAUGGAUAAUAUUCUAUACAUGACUGAAGAACCUGUAGACAUAUCCAUCAGAAUAUAAGAGCAUUCUAUGGUUGCCCAGGCUCUGACAAAAUAAUGUCCCCCAAACAGAGCUGGGAUGAGAGAA